rnacentral:ncRNA from 2 species
UGUAAGAUGCGACGCUUGGGUGCGCCGAAUCCCUGCGGGGAUAGGCGUUAAACGGGAAACCGGUGUAAUUCCGGUGCAGCCCCCGCUGCUGUAAGCCAGACGACUCCGUCAUCACGUCACUGCCGUAACACGCGGGAAGACACGGAGAAGGAUGAAGGCGAGCCAGAAUACCGGCCCAAAAAGUCCAGCACCA